CCUUAAGAUUUUGAUGGAAUCAAAACCCAUUUUGAUGUCAUGGUGAGCAUUUUUUUUUCAUUCUCCCUUUCUAUAGUAGUUUUCAUCAUUAAUGGCGGAGUCCACCAUUCAAUUAGCCUACCUACGCAUACCUACUACGUGAGUUUGUGCUGUUGCACCGUAAACAGAUACCCCAGUGGCUCUUCUGUUGCGUUUCUUUGAGUAUUUGACGUCAUAUCAAACCACACUUGCUAUCACCACGGUAACCACGGGUGUUGCCAGAUCAAAUCUUAAGGAAUACAAUCAAUGUCUAAAGAGCUAAGAAAAAACAAUUAUUUGGCCGCCACGGAAAUAAAUUAGUUUGCAUCUCAAUCCACUUUCCUUUGUGCCUAUCUGAUAACAACCCGAUUUGAGUGCCUUUAAUGUAAUUAAUUUAUCAUGAAAGCUAGAUAUUCUAUCCGGGAUCUGCACAUAACUUCCCCGUCACCCCACCCCUGCCUUUGCUAAAUGACACUUACUAGCUUCAAUUACGGAUGCAGUGGUUGUUCCUUUAAAGAGAGGUUGGUGGUCUCCGAUCCGUUGUGGUCCCAGAGUCAAACUUGGGUACAUCUCCACGCUCAGCAUUCUCUUUGUCGGUGUUUGUCCCUUCACACGUCCUCUUCACCUGCUCCAAAUCUGCCUGUUAGUCCCUCUCUGCAGGGAGUCGGGCCUUGAAUGAAGCUGGAAGAGGAGGACACUUUGGCCGAUGGCUGCAUUUUGGCCACUCCACAAACACGAGUGUGUAAAAGUUUAUAUGUAGGUUUGGAUUAAGGCAUGAGCUCAGUGUUACAGCUGAAGCUGGCCAACCGUUUCCCAAAUCAUUUAACACCGGAACUGCUAAAUGAAUCGAUUCAACACAAAUUCUGCUGUUCCUGGGUGGGACGUUUGGUGAGCAGACAGGAUUCUCUAGUUAAAACACAUUAAGACACAGCAACGUAGACCACACAGACGAACCUCUGUUGAUAGUACCAGACAGUUAACUGGUUAGUAUGAGCAGCAGUGGGUAUUCAGAGCCUUUGCUUAAGUGAAAGUAGCAAUAGCACAAUGUGAGAAUACUUCCCAACAAGCAGAAGUCCUGCAUUCACAAAAUUACUCA